rnacentral:rRNA from 1 species
CGUAGGUGCGAGCGUUAAUCGGAAUUACUGGGCGUAAAGCGUGCGCAGGCGGCUUUGCAAGACAGAGGUGAAAUCCCCGGGCUCAACCUGGGAACUGCCUUUGUGACUGCAAGGCUAGAGUACGGCAGAGGGGAGUGGAAUUCCGCGUGUAGCAGUGAAAUGCGUAGAUAUGCGGAGGAACACCGAUGGCGAAGGCAAUCCCCUGGGCCUGUACUGACGCUCAUGCACGAAAGCGUGGGAGCAAACAGGAUU